UUUACUUUUAUGUAUAUUGUUAUUUAAAUAUUUUUAUAUUUUUGUUUAAGUUUUAAAUUAAUCAUUUUGUUGAAUUACUGUUAAGGUUUUUAUAAAUAAUAAGGUUAAAUUUUUAGUACCUUUUGUAUCAGGGUAUAUUUAAUUUUUUAUAUAUUUGUAAGUCCCGAAUCUUAGAUAUUUAUUUUUAUAUUAUUUAAGUUGUUUUAUAAACUUAUUUAAUUUAAUUAUUGUAAUAAAAUGUUAACGUUCUUUUUAUAUAUCUGGUUAUUGAAGAUUUAAUUUAAUUAUAGUUUUCUUUUUUAUGUAUAAUUUUAUAUUUUUGAAUACUUAAUUUAUUGGGGAUAAUCUUGAUAUUUAAUUAUAAUUUUUUAUUAUUUAUUUUUAUUAUUAAUAGAAUCUUAUUUUUAGUUCUUAAUAGAUUAUUUUAUAAUUAUUUGAUUUUAUUGAAUUUAAUUUCAUAUUCAAUUUUUUUAUUUAAUUUCUAAUAUUUUAAUAUUGAUUUAAUUAGUAUAAUUUUUAUUUUAAAUUGAAUGAAUUCGGCAUAUUUAAUUUUCAACUGUUUAUCAAAAACAUUUCUUUAUGGUUUCUAUAUAAAGUAAUUUCUGCCCAAUGACUUAUUUAAAUGGCUGCAGUAUAUUGACUGUACAAAGGUAGCAUAGUAAUUAGUUUUUUAAUUGGAAACUUGAAUGAAAGGAUAAAUGAAAUAUUAUCUUUAUUAAUUUUAUUAUUAGAAUUUUAUUUUUUGGUUAAAAAGCUAAAUAGUUUUUUAGGGACGAUAAGACCCUAUAGAAUUUAAAAUAUUAAUUUAUUGAAUUAUUUUUAGGUUAAAUUUGUUCAUUUAAUUUAAAUUUUUAAUUGGGGUGAUUAAUAAAUUUCACUUUAUUUAUUUAAUUCAUUAAUAUAUGUUUAUUUGAUCCUUUAUUAAGAUUAUAAGAUAAAUUACCUUAGGGAUAACAGCGUAAUUUUGAUGGAAAGUUCAUAUUAAAAUUAAAGUUUGCGACCUCGAUGUUGAAUUAAGAUAAUUUUAUGGUGUAGAAGCUUUAAUUGUAAGUCUGUUCGACUUUUAUAAUCUUACAUGAUUUGAGUUCAAACCGGUGUAAGCCAGGUUGGUUUCUAUCUUAAAAUUUAUUUUAAUUAUUAGUACGAAAGGACCAUAAUUAAUAGUUUUAAUUAUGUUUUUGAG
rnacentral:rRNA from 1 species